CCUGGUUGAUCCUGCCAGUAGUCAUAUGCUUGUCUCAAAGAUUAAGCCAUGCAUGUGUAAGCACACACUGUUUUAAAAGUGAAGCCGCGAAUGGCUCAUUACAACAGCCACAGUUUAUUAGAACUUACAAUCAUGGAUAACUGUGGUAAUUCUAGAGCUAAUACACGCACAAAAACUUCAAUUGAAUUGGUUGAAGUGCUUUUAUUAGAACAAAAACCGAACGGCGUUUGGCGAAUGUUGAACGUCGAAACUGUUUGGUGAAUCUGAAUAACUAUUUCUGAUCGCAUGGUCUAGCACCGGCGACAUCACUUUCAAGUGUCUGCCUUAUCAACCUUCGAUGGUAGUCUAUGCGACUACCAUGGUGAUAACGGGUAACGGAGAAUCAGGGUUCGACUCCGGAGAGGGAGCCUGAGAAACGGCUACCACAUCCAAGGAAGGCAGCAGGCGCGCAAAUUACCCACUCCCAGCUUGGGGAGGUAGUGACGAAAAAUAACGAGACGAUUCUCGUUUGAGAAACGUUAUCGAAAUGAGUACGCUUUACACACGCUAACGAGUAGCAAUUGGAGGGCAAGUCUGGUGCCAGCAGCCGCGGUAAUUCCAGCUCCAAUAGCGUAUAUUAAAGUUGCUGCGGUUAAAACGCUCGUAGUUGAAUUGUGGUCUUAGACAACAGUCCCCCUACAUAGGUGUGGCACGGUUGCUCGAGAUCUUCAUUCGUGGUUGCUGUUGUUGCUCUUCAUUGAGUGUCAAUGGUGCCUCGAGAUUUUACUUUGAAAAAAUUAGAGUGCUCAAAGCAGGUUGUGAUGCCUGAAUAAUGGUGCAUGGAAUAAUAGAAUACGAUCUCGGUUCUAUUUUGUUGGUUUUCGAACCGGAGAUAAUGAUUGAAAGGAACAGACGGGGGCAUUCGUAUUGCUGCGUUAGAGGUGAAAUUCUUGGAUCGCAGCAAGAUGAACAAUUGCGAAAGCAUUUGCCAAGAAUGUUUUCAUUAAUCAAGAACGAAAGUUAGAGGUUCGAAGGCGAUCAGAUACCGCCCUAGUUCUAACGGUAAACUAUGCCAACCAGCGAUUCGCCGAAGUUCAUUUAAGACUCGGCGAGCAGCUUCCGGGAAACCAAAGUGUUUCGGUUCCGGGGGAAGUAUGGUUGCAAAGCUGAAACUUAAAGGAAUUGACGGAAGGGCACCACCAGGAGUGGAGCCUGCGGCUUAAUUUGACUCAACACGGGAAAACUCACCCGGCCCGGACACUGGAAGGAUUGACAGAUUGACAGCUCUUUCUUGAUUCAGUGGGUAGUGGUGCAUGGCCGUUCUUAGUUGGUGGAGCGAUUUGUCUGGUUAAUUCCGAUAACGAACGAGACUCUACCCUAUUAAAUAGUGACAGUAUUGUAUUUUUUGUGCUGAUCACUUCUUAGAGGGACUGGCAAAUUGAAAGCUGCACGAAAAAGAGCAAUAACAGGUCUGUGAUGCCCUUCGAUGUCCGGGGCUGCACGCGCGCUACAAUGAAAGCGUCAACGUGAGUUACGUCCUUACCUGAAAAGGUUUGGCAAUCGAAUGAAACGUUUUCUUGAAUGGAAUAGGGAAUUGCAAUUGUUUCCCUUGAACGAGGAAUUCCCAGUAAGCGUGAGUCAUUAGCUCGCGUUGAUUACGUCCCUGCCCUUUGUACACACCGCCCGUCGCUACUACCGAUUGGAUGAUUUAGUGAGGUGUUUUGACUGGCGCCAGUAGUCGGAUGUAUUCGGCUUCGCGCCGGGAAAUUUCCCAAACCAAAUCAUCUAGAGGAAGUAAAAGUCGUAACAAGGUUUCCGUAGGUGAACCUGCGGAAG
rnacentral:rRNA from 1 species